rnacentral:tRNA from 1 species
AAUUUUAUAGUUAAUAGAUAAUAAUAUUAGAAUGCAAUUCGACAUUAUAAAUAAAAAUUAAAUUUAUGAAAAUUC